rnacentral:rRNA from 1 species
UACGGGGGGGGUAAGCGUUGUUCGGAAUUACUGGGCGUAAAGGGCGCGUAGGCGGUCCGAUAAGUCCCGUGUGAAAUCCCUCGGCUCAACUGAGGAAUGGCACGGGAAACUGCCGGGCUUGAGUUCGGGAGAGGGAAGCGGAAUUCCGGGUGUAGCGGUGAAAUGCGUAGAUAUCCGGAGGAACACCGGUGGCGAAGGCGGCUUCCUGGACCGACACUGACGCUGAGGCGCGAAAGCUAGGGGAGCAAACGGG